rnacentral:rRNA from 1 species
GAUAAACGCUGGCGGCGUGCCUAAUACAUGCAAGUCGAACGAGGAGUCUUUGUAGCAAUACGGGGACUUCCUAGUGGCGAAUGGGUGAGUAACGCGCUGGUGACCUGCCCCAAAGAGAGGAACAACUCCGGGAAACUGGAGCUAAUACCUCAUGUGGUUAUCAGGGUUAGAGGCCUGAUAUCUGAAGGAGCAAUCCGCUUUGGGAGGGACCUGCGUCCCAUCAGCUAGUUGGUAGGGUAAUGGCCUACCAAGGCGACGACGGGUAGGGGGCCUGAGAGGGUGGCCCCCCACACUGGAACUGAAACACGGUCCAGACACCUACGGGUGGCAGCAGUAGGGAAUAUUGCACAAUGGGCGAAAGCCUGAUGCAGCAACGCCGCGUGAACGAUGAAGACCUUCGGGUUGUAAAGUUCUUUUCUGAAGGACGAGGAAGGACGGUACUUCAGGAAUAAGGAUUGGCUAACUACGUGCCAGCAGCCGCCGUAACAC